rnacentral:rRNA from 1 species
UACGUAGGGCGCAAGCGUUAUCCGGAAUUAUUGGGCGUAAAGGGCUCGUAGGCGGUUUGUCGCGUCGGGAGUGAAAUCCACUGGCUUAACUGGUGGCUUGCCUUCGAUACGGGCAGACUGGAGGUAUGCAGGGGAGAACGGAAUUCCUGGUGUAGCGGUGAAAUGCGCAGAUAUCAGGAGGAACACCGGUGGCGAAGGCGGUUCUCUGGGCAUGUCCUGACGCUGAGGAGCGAAAGUGUGGGGAGCGAACAGG